UAGUCCACGCCCUAAACGUUGAUCACUCGAUGUUGGCAAUACACCGUCAGCGUCCAAGCUAAAGCGUUAAGUGAUCCACCUGGGGAGUACGUCCGCAAGGAUGAAACUCAAAGGAAUUGACGGGGGCCUGCACAAGCGGUGGAGCAUGUGGUUUAAUUCGAGGCAACGCGAAGAACCUUACCAGACCUUGACAUGCCUCUCGCGGAUUUCAGAGAUGAUUUCCUUCAGUUCGGCUGGAGAGUGCACAGGUGCUGCAUGGCUGUCGUCAGCUCGUGUCGUGAGAUGUUGGGUUAAGUCCCGCAACGAGCGCAACCCUCAUCCUUAGUUGCUACCAUUUAGUUGGGCACUCUAAGGAAACUGCCUGGGUCAACCAGGAGGAAGGUGGGGAUGACGUCAAGUCUUCAUGGCCCUUAUGGUCUGGGCUACACACGUGCUACAAUGGCAGUGACAAUGAGCAGCGACCCCGCGAGGGUGAGCUAAUCUCCGAAA
rnacentral:rRNA from 1 species